rnacentral:lncRNA from 1 species
UCUGAUUUUAUUAACCAGCAUUGAUGUACACUGUUCUGUCUUGCACACAUAUGGUUGUAUGGAUAGAUGUAAUCUCACCUUCAAUGUUUAGCAAAUAUUUACAGUGAAUGAAUUAAUGAAUACUUGUAAGAAUGGCAAGUUACAAUAGCUUUCAAUAGGUUCAGAGGAAUAUUUAAGUGCUGCAAAAAUUAACUUAAAAUACCAAGAUCAAGGCAUAGACCACUUUUCAAUCUCAUUACCCCGAGUACCAUAAUGGCAGAAACUACAAGGUUUCAUGCUUCUUUCAAAUUAUCGAAUUGCCUUGGAGCUCAGGGCUUUAGUAUUUCCAGGUGCUGGUCAUCUGCUUUUGACUUGUAUGAAUCUGAGACUCAUUUAUCUUUGUUAUGGCCACAAUUCACCUUGAAAGACAAUGGGGGCAUCUCCUUGAAUAAGAGAAAUGGAAAUGUGCUUGGAGAUGUGAGUCUGGCUGUGAGUGUGUGUGUGCACAAGCACUUUUAAACAGUGAUAACAGGUUUGGCACAUGUAAGUAUAUGAGUCAUUGAGAAAACAUCCUGGAUGUUUUUCCCUCUUCCCUCUAUGGUAUUCUGUGGAUACAUAUUUAUCCUUUCAGCCAUUUUCCUCUUCUUUUACAGAUAUCCUUGAUCACCUCCUGGGGCACCAUUUGAAAAAGUGUGGUCUGGUGCUGCAUUUUAUGUGCAGCAAAGAACCUUAGAAUAAUGAUUUGAAAUAGACACAAUGUGCAGUUUUCAAGAGAGGGACUUUGAAGUGUUAUUUCCAGAGUUACGGUCAAAUCUCUUAAAUCGAGUUUUAUUUUAACUUAUUUUAAAGCUGGACUUUGAGACUCAAUGCUUUGGUGAGUGAUAGUGGCAUUUCCCUGGACUGAAUGUGCCAUAUUUUAAUUUAAGACUCUUUUGUGGAUAACUUUAAUCUUUGUUAUAACAUAGGAGAAACAAAAUAAUUUCUUAACUCAGUGGAAGUUACAGAAGAAUACUUUAGGUAGAGUUCAAAAAUUCUCACUGGGGAAUAUAGGGUUUGGAUUUCUCUCGUUCUUAAGCAUUCUCCCAAAAUUUGGUAUAGAGCCUGAUUCACAGUAGAUACUCAAUAAAUACUUGUUGAUUCAAUGAAUAAAUGAUUUUGGCUGUAAGUAAAAUGUCCCUGAGCCUAUGACAGGGAAAGCUUUGAUUUUCCUUUGUUUAGGUUAGUUUAAUGGAGUCACACUAAAGUUUAUAAAGAUCAAUACAAUAUGAAUGGCUAAUUGACAAACAUUUAUAUUUCAGUGUUAGGAAAUAUGGUAAGAUUAGGAAAACAAUUAAGACAAUGAUUUAUACAGAAUUGACUAGUUCAGGCAAUGAAAACUUCACAGAUUACAGUUUAACACGAUUAAACAUCACAUAUAACAUACAUGUAUGACAAACAAUGCUUCUGCUUUUGAUAUUAACAUACCAUCAAUUUUACACAUGAAAAAUAUUGCCAGUUCAACUUUGGGUUAUAACAUGUAUAAUUUUUUGAUAAGACAUUUCAAAUUACAACAUAUCUCAGGCAGCAUGCAGGAAGAGUCAUUUAUUGUAUGUUUGUUAGGACACACCUUGCAACAAGCUUCCAGUUUUUGGUAGUUAGAUCAAGAAUAUAGAAACCAUUGAAAUGAUAGUAUGGUUGAAAUCAGCAGUUGUGUUUACUGGCUGAGAGCAUUUCUGGUAAAAAUAAAACUCUGAAAUCAUUCAUUAACAAAAUGCACAGUGAUCAUAAACUCAAUUCUUUAAAAAUUGUUUUUCACAAUUCUCAUUUAUUGGUGAUAUGGCAGCUGCAGGAAGUCUGAAUUCUGAGAGUUGGUUGUACAUAACCUCAGGAAUUUAUUCUUCUGUGGGCUUACAUGAUUACGACAGAGAUGCUUACCCUUUGAAAUCACAUAUAACGAUGGUGCUAUACAAACAUCACAAAUAUUUGGUGUCUGAGUCUUAACAAAUAUUAUGUUUUUUUUUAAUCACAAAGAGACUAGAUUAACAGGCAGUGUAAAUCACAUAUAUCUUAAGAUUUUAAAAAUACAUUUUAUACAAUAGGUUUCUAAUUUCUUCACUAGCAUUUUAUUUUGGUGUGUUUUGUCUUCAUACUUAUAGUCCUAAAGGAAACUAUGAAUCUCUGGCUCAUGCCAUGAAAGUCAGUAAGAUUGAUAUUUCCCCACAGGAAUAUGGCUGAGUGUACAUUGAAUCACAGAGUCAACAAAGUAACAUCUAAUUUACAACAGAUUACUUUUAAAAUUCAAAUAAAAUCUAAUUAUUUUAAAAGACAUCAGUUUGAACAAAAUUAUAGGAGUCAAAAUUUUUAUUUACAAAACAUUUGAGUAUAUUUGAAAUGGCUAGUUCUUGCUAACUGCACAACUUAAAUAUUCUUGGUGCACAUAGUCUGUCAACCUUCUGUACAACAUUGUUAGACUGCUCAGUUAACUUACAUGGAAUGGUUAGGUAGGUGGGAAAAUUAUAUGGCAAUUUUCAUCCAUUCAAAGUGCUUGAAAGGGAAUGUUUUGAUGCUUUUCAUAUUAGAGAAGAUCUGUCAUUAAUGUUGGUGCCUUUAAUUUGAAAAGAUUAGCUAAAAUUUCCAAAAUGUAAUUUAGUGCAGUAUAAGAAUUAUAGGAAAGAUUGAUAAAUUUAUCAUCAAAUGCUGGAAUUCUAAUCUAGCAUUAUGCAGUUGAUCCAAGUCAUUGUACCUCUCAUUUACAAGGCUUCUGUGUACUACAUUGGCUUAAAAAAUAUUUUCCUUGGUCCUUAGAAAUACAAAAUAUUCAUUUUCAAAAGUUAGAGAAUGUUAGGGUGUUUCUUACAAUCACAUUCAUAAUAAAAGAAGAUAAUCUACAUUUUACAGAUCAUUAAACAAUGGUCUUUGGCAGAAGACUUUAUAAAUACCUCCACUUUUAACGUUUCGUUUAGGCCAUUUUCCUUUUUAAUGAUAUCAGGUAUAUGGUCACGUGUUCACUAAGAGUAGUUAAUAGGAAAAUACCACAGAUAUAAAAAUAUUUGUUUAGUGCAUUUUUUUGAACCUUCAAUUCAGAGUGAAUCAACUCAUUAAUACUAGAGAAGAUACUUUAUGCAAGCAUUUCUAACAGUGUUGCUUAAGAUCAUAAUUUCAACAAUAUGGUCAGCAAAGAGAGUAUGUAUACCUCUAUUCCCCCACAAAAUUUUAUCACUGAAACACACUGAAAGAAUGUGCUGGAAUCUUUUUCAUUAUAAUACAUUGUGUUUCCCACAAAAUGAGUAAUAUAUGAUGCAUAUACCAUUAUGUGUGUGUGUCUGUGCGUGCACUCGAACGGCAAGUCGUGGAGAUUACAUUCAUUGGCAGCAAAGAAUAGAAACGGAAAAAUUCAGUUAAGUAUUACUGAUAAACCACCACUAAGGAAUUUCAAAGUGUAGUGAAGUUAUUUAGAAAUAACCGUAGACAUGGGAACAAACUUUAGGAUCAACUACGGGAAUAUUAGGAUUUCUUACUUCAUUUUUCAAGGUAACAUCUUUUUCUCUGCAUUUUUGCCUCCCUUCUACCUGCCCCCUGUCAGUCUUUGAAGGUCAUUUGUGAUGGGUCCUUCAAACUGUGAAUACAGAAUAUGAAUAGGCUAUUCUUCCCUUUUUUGCCCUGUAUAGGAAAUUCAUGAUCACCUCUUAGGGAGACAAGGUUUCUGGCAUUAUGAUAUGCCACCCUUUUCUUUAUGGAUUGACUAUUGUGCUUGCUCGGUAUGAGUUCAGUUUACUAUCAAAAUUGUCCACCAAGUUAUUCAGUGGGAAACACAAUUGCCAUCAGUAACCAUCAAAGGCAAGAGAAGUCCUAGAUUCAUUUCCUACCUGAAUCCUCCCUUCUGGCCUGCCCCUCUGAGAACACUCCAAAGGCACAGACCAGUGUUCUGUGCACGUACACAGUAUGUACAAUAUGCUAGUUCCUUUCUUUGCCCUUGUCCAGGAAGUUACCAAUGUCUCCUCGGUGUGAGCUUCCUACUGUCUGUAAAAAUUAAUAGAUGGAACCCAGGCAAGUCCUGUUGUAAUAACAGUUGUGCCAACAAUUAUUAUUAUGGCUUAUUGGAAGAGUGUUGAAUUGUACCACUGACCUACGAAAACCACCACAAAGGACACUGAAAGGCAAAGCUGUUGUGGGAUAAGAAACAAUUUGCUGUUAUCUUCUAAUAUCAAGACCUUUUUAAUGGACCACACACAUAAGGGUCUUGACAAUAUGUAACUUUUUUUCUUAAGCUAAGAGAAAAUUUUAAUUUAGGCUUGUUUCAAGAUUUCAAGGCUUGAGCCAAUACAGAAACCAUGGACUGUAGACAAAGGCAAGUCCCCACUGUAAUUUAGCCUUGAGCUUAAGAGUUUCUGUUAAAAAAAGAGAGAAAGAGAAAACAAGAAAUCAACCACUAUGGACGGCAAAAGUUGGGAAUGAGGUCAAGGCUCCUCAUUGUUUGAAAUAGUCUGAGUGAAACCCUGUCAGUCUGAUCCAGCUCCUUCCCCUGCAAAGAUGUAUUUCCCGUCACGAAGUGGCCAGAAGUGGGUGAUUGUUCUAAGUACCUUGUUGGUGAGGCUUUAACUUUGAUUAAAAAAUAGGGUGUGCAAAUGAAGAUGUACACAAUGGUGGAAACACAGGAAGGAGUGACUGUGAUUUCGUUAGAGCUAUUUGGUAAUCAGGUGUGAGUGAGAGGAAUGGGACAAUGGGGAAAAGAGCCGAUGAGAAAAUGUCCUCAGCGACAGACAAUGGACACUCAAAUGCUGAAGCUAUGACCAGCAACAGGGGAGGGUCACAGAUUUUAAAGCACACGGAACACAGUAUCAUACUUCAGUUAUUCUAAUUCCUGAAAAAGAGCUACCAUUCCAAAAUAUCUGACAAGUUUGGUUUCUCCUAAGGGAGGCCUGGAGUGACAGUUACAACAUUUUUCUCCAGAAUAUCACUGUUAAGCUUACAUUUCCAGCCUCCUUUUACAUACUUUGAAUUGCUUUUGUGUAUCAAAAUGCAUAUGAGUAUUUUAAGUAUCCACAAAUGUGAUAUUUUCAGGUUAGAAUUCAGGAAACAUACAUGUGUGUGCACACAUACACACAUAUAACCCACAAUCUUAAGUUCCUUUUCCUAAGCCAUUUUUACAAGCAGAGUUACUUUCUGACUCUCUGCUUUCAGUUCUGCACCAAUUCAAAUGAGAGACCCUAGAAAGGAGCCUCCAGGGAACUCCAGCUACUGUAUACAUCAUCUGUGGUUUUCAAGCUUCUUGAGCCUUGUGAGUCUUUGAAAAUGAAUUCUAAAACUAAAACUCACUCAUAGCCAGCAAUCCUUUUAGCUCAGUCAGUCAUACACAGCACUCUUCAAAACAGUAGACUGUGUCAUUAAGUAUAAUUUAGUACUGUUACACAGUGGUUUAGCAUUAAGACAAAUCAGCCAGAGCUAAUCAGUUAGAGAAAGGUGUCCAGGGUCAUUUUCUAGGCCCCGGGGAAGUCAGGCAAAGUAGAUCAGCUGUGGGGUUUUAAAAGAACUAGAUAAGCUGAUUAGAAAUCUCUGACUGGAGAGGCUGCCUCAGACUCAGUUAUGCCAGAAAAAGACAUAAGGAUUAAUGUCCCUUAAAAUUAUAUUUUAAGUCUGAAUGGUGGACAUAUCUCCCAUAUAUCUGAAUGCAUUAUCUUUAUAAAGAACCUACCUUUUAAGCAUUUAAACCUUUUCUUAAGGGAAAGCAUAAUUAAGCAGUGGGUGACAUUGUUCAUUCUUGGCCACUCAGAAUGCUGUGUCAUAGAUCAAUGAUUCUCAAAUUUGAGCAUGCAUCAGAACCAUCCUAGGGGCUUAUUAAAGUCCAUAUUGCCAGGGUCACUCCAAAAUUUUUGAUUCAUAGAUCUGGGCUGAAGUCUCAGGUGGGACUGGAUAAUUUGCAUGUCUAACAAAUUUCCAGUUGCUGAUGCUGCUUGUUUGGGGAACAAACUUGAGACUCACAAAAGCGGCUUAUUUUUAAUCACCCUAAUUGCACUCUGGGGACAAAGAUUUUCCAUGUGGAAUGUGAAGGUCAAUAUUGGAUUUCCCCCACCAGACAUUCUUACAAUGUGGGUAAGGGACAGAUUAUAUUUGUGCUAGUUUAAUUAUAGAGAAUCUUUAGGUUCAGAAGUUUAAUCAGUAUAUACAGCAAACCUAUAAGUAAAAUAUGAUUCAAAAUGUGAGUCCCUACAAGUCUAUUUGUAGAAAAUUCUAUGGCCUCUAUUCAUAGAAUACUAUUUUAGUAAUAGCGUUAAAAUGAUCUCUUGUCACCUAGGUGAUAUUUUCUCUCUCACCUCAGGAUUAUUACCAUAACAGCUAAAUUUGUUCACAAUUUCUUGAAUGAACACAAGGGUUUGCUGACUUGGUUUUUUUUUUUUUCCUAGUCAAAUCCAUUUUAAAGUAUAUCAAAUGCAAGGACUUAUAGAAAAGAGUGAACAGAGGGAAGGAACAUCAAGGGGCAAUGCAUGAAAUUCAGUUGGUGAAAAAUUAAGUUGAGCAACUGUCGGGACAUGUAAUUAGAAUCUGCAGUUUGUUCAACUGCUAGGUGGAUGUGGGUCAAUCCAAGAGGCGGGAUUGGUGCAAGAAGUUGAGGAAGACGAGAUGAGCGUGUGUGAAUGAGCAGCUGUCUGUGAGGAAGAAAGGCUAAAUCUAUUCACAGGUUCUCUUCCUUAAACAAGCACCUGCCACUGAUUGACAGCUCUACCAAGAUUGCUUAAGGCAGACAUCCGCUGAAAAUGCUUAUGGUGCAUACUUGUUUUUAAAAAGAUGGAAAAACCUGCCUUCUCAAUUUAGUAUUUCCUAAUCAAAUCUGAAAUGGGGGGCAAAUUCAACGUGAGGGAUUUAUUAAAAUAUGAAAAUACAGUCCUUACUGCAUUAAAAUAGCUCUAUAUAGAAAUUUAUAAUGAGAGAAGGAAAAGUAAUUUUAUCCCUUGGCAGAAGUCUUAGUAAUCACUGGAAUUAUAACAGAAAUAUUAGCUAUUUUAAUUUUCUUUCUCAAUAUUGAGUCUCACAAGAUCAUUUUAUCGGUUGCAAUGUCAGUAAUUUUUGCUUACCUUUCCCCCUGACAAAUUUAGCUUUGUGCCUCAGUGGUAAUAAAGUUGGAAUAUAUUACUGCUAUGAAGCUGAAAUAGUUUUGCCGUUUCCAAUGACAUUCUAACUGGGAUUCCUUCAAGAGAAAGCUUACAUUUAUUCCACUAAAACAUUCUUUGUUUAUGCAAGCAGAGUUCACUAUGGUUGCUUUUUCUUUCUUCUUUUCUUCCACCCCAUGGAAAUGUCUACAUUCUUUUGCUAUGUUUCGUCUGUUGUGCAAUUUCAUUUUGCUAAUGAGGCAUCUGAGCUGUGGCCGACCGGUUGAUUGCUAAGGGUAAUUAUCCAGUUGAUAUUUAUCUUGUUCCAGUCACCUUUAGAAAGCUGUUUGGUGAGUACAAUGUUAAUAUAGAGACAAUCAGAAUGGUGUGUGCUUUUGUACAAAACUUGUGGAUCCAUCAAUGAGGCAUCUGCCAUUUUUUCUUUCUUCCCCUCUAUAUUACAAGUUCUGGAAUGCCUGUUCUAAUUCUCCAAGGAGAAUUAGAAAAUAAAAGGCAGAGUCUAGAGCCAUGUCAAUAUCCUCCCACAGAAUGUGUAUGGAGAAUAUUCC